AACGAACGCUGGCGGCAGGCCUAACACAUGCAAGUCGAGCGCCCCGCAAGGGGAGCGGCGGACGGGUGAGUAACACGCGGGAACGUACCCUUUUCUGCGGAAUAGCCCCGGGAAACUUGGAUUAAUACCGCAUACGCCCUUCGGGGGAAAGAUUUAUCGGAGAAGGAUCGGCCCGCGUUGGCUUAGGUAGUUGGUGGGGUAAUGGCCUACCAAGCCGACGAUCCAUAGCUGGUGUGAGAGGAUGAUCAGCCAACCUGGGACUGAGACACGGCCCAGACUCCUACGGGAGGCAGCGGUGGGGAAUCUUCGGCAAUGGGCGCAAGCCGGCCCGAGCCAUGCCGCGUGAGCGAUGAAGGCCUUAGGGUUGUAAAGCUCUUUCGCCAGGGAUGAUAAUGACAGUACCUGGUAAAGAAACCCCGGCUAACUCCGUGCCAGCCGCCGCAGUAAGAC
rnacentral:rRNA from 1 species